UACAGAGGUCUCAAGCGUUGUUCGGAUUCAUUGGGCGUAAAGGGUGCGUAGGUGGCGCUGUAAGUCGGGUGUGAAAUUUCGGAGCUUAACUCCGAAACUGCAUUCGAUACUGCGGUGCUUGAGGACUGGAGAGGAGACUGGAAUUCAUGGUGUAGCAGUGAAAUGCGUAGAGAUCAUGAGGAAGACCAGUGGCGAAGGCGGCUCUCUGGGACGGUACUGACGCUGAGACGCGAAAGCGUGGGGAGCGAACAGG
rnacentral:rRNA from 1 species